rnacentral:rRNA from 1 species
GUCUCUAGCCAUGCCACCCAGAACAAGCCUGAUGUCUGAUCUCCUAAGCUAAGUAGGGUAGAGCCUGGUUAGUACUUGGAUGGGAGACCACCUAGGAAGACCAAGUGCUAUAGGCA